UACAGAGGUCUCAAGCGUUGUUCGGAUUCAUUGGGCGUAAAGGGUGCGUAGGCGGCGCGGUAAGUCGGGUGUGAAAUCUCGGAGCUUAACUCCGAAACUGCAUUCGAUACUGCCGUGCUUGAGGACUGGAGAGGAGACUGGAAUUUACGGUGUAGCGGUGAAAUGCGUAGAUAUCGUAAGGAAGACCAGUGGCGAAGGCGGGUCUCUGGACAGUUCCUGACGCUGAGGCACGAAAGGCCAGGGGAGGCAAAACGGGG
rnacentral:rRNA from 1 species